rnacentral:lncRNA from 1 species
CAUGGGCAUCAUGGUCAGCCCUGAAGGAUGAGAUGGUGAGAUCUGGGAAGGAAAUGAAGUUGGACCUGUAGGGAGCUAUGGUGAACAGUGACCAUCUAGGCAUGCGAGUGAGGGAGGAGCUCCCUCUGAGCAGAACCUGGAGAAAGGAUCUGGAAGAAGAGAGAGGGAGCCACAGAGGGAGCUACAGAACACAGACACCCAGCAGAGCAACAAUGGGGCAGAGAAGAGGGAGGACUGCUUGGCAGUGA